UAAUAAGUGUUUUUAUGGCACUUUCAAAAAUCCAUAUCCACCUUGUGUGCAAUGUCAUCUCACUGGAGGUCACGGCUGUAACAAUCCGUUGGUCACCUUUGGGAUUUAUAUCUACUCAGAACUUUAGUGAUUUUGUCUGAAACAUAUUAUGAAUAACUUAAUUCAAAAUA
rnacentral:misc_RNA from 1 species